rnacentral:rRNA from 1 species
GUAGGGUGCAGGCGUUAAUCGGAAUUACUGGGCGUAAAGCGUGCGCAGGCGGUUUCUUAAGUCAGAUGUGAAAGCCCCGGGCUUAACCUGGGAACUGCGUUUGAAACUGGGAGACUCGAGUGUGGCAGAGGGGGGUGGAAUUCCACGUGUAGCAGUGAAAUGCGUAGAUAUGUGGAGGAACACCGAUGGCGAAGGCAGCCCCCUGGGUCAACACUGACGCUCAUGCACGAAAGCGUGGGGAGCAAACAGGAUUAGAUACCCUGGUAGUCCACGCCCUAAACUAUGUCAACUGGUUGUCGGGGGAUUGAUUCCCUUGGUAACGAAGCUAACGCGUGAAGUUGACCGCCUGGGGAGUACGGUCGCAAGAUUAG